rnacentral:rRNA from 1 species
GACGAACGCUGGCGACGUGCUUAACACAUGCAAGUCGAACGGAAAGGCCCUGCUUGCAGGGUACUCGAGUGGCGAACGGGUGAGUAACACGUGGGUGAUCUGCCCUGCACUUCGGGAUAAGCCUGGGAAACUGGGUCUAAUACCGGAUAUGACCUUCCAUGUAGAGUGGGGGGUGGAAAGAUUUAUCGGUGUGGGAUGAGCCCGCGGCCUAUCAGCUUGUUGGUGGGGUAAUGGCCUACCAAGGCGUCGACGGGUAGCCGGCCUGAGAGGGUGGACGGCCACAGUGGGACUGAGAUACGGCCCAGACUCCUACGGGAGGCAGCAGUGGGGAAUAUUGCACAAUGGGCGGAAGCCUUAUGCAGCGACGCCGCGUGGGGGAUGACGGCCUUCGGGUUGUAAACCUCUUUCGACAGGGACGAAGCUUCGGUGACGGUACCUGUAUAAGAAGCACCGGCUAACUACGUG